rnacentral:misc_RNA from 1 species
CUCGAAAGCUGCAAGUGAAGGUGUGGUUCCGGGUUACAAGCAUGCAAGCCGACGCCGAAACCGGUGAAACAGGUCCACCCGCCCCGAUGAUUUUCACAUAAAUUAACGGCAUAGGCCUACUUACUUUCAGUCCUUUCAAGCUGAGUUUCAGUAUCUGAAAACCUAGAAAACCAGUCAACAGCGUCUCCGAUAUCUUGCCAAAAGGAGACGGAUAAUCAUCCUCCUCAUCAUCAUUGCCGGCAUCAUUCUGCGACACCCACCAUGAAUUCCGUCGUAACCGAGAAAGCCCUCUCCUGGCUGGCUUCCAAGAUGGGAGCAGACUGGGAACAAAUUGGCAUCCAGUGCUUGGGCAUGUCCAAAAAUGACAUCUUCCAGUGUAAGGCGGACAAUCCCUACACUGUGCAAAACCAGAUCUUCAGCUUGUUGAACAAGUGGAGAUGUCGCAGCGGCUACAAUGUAACCUAUGCGCAGCUGUUUGAAAUGCUACUUCAGUUCCAGGAGUUUGACAAGAACAUUUUGGAAGAAAUGCAAACGAAGAUACCAACGUUUUGAACCUGUGUGCGAUGGUUCCUGGUAAAAAGCAUGAACGACAUGUACUUAUGAUGUUCUUGGACUACUGAUUUUAUUGGAGAAAUGCUGAAGAAGAAAAACUGAACUUGUAGAAAAGACUGUAUGAUUAACAACACCGAUUGAAAAGAACAUUGAAAUUGACGUUUAUCCUGCUCAGGAUGACAUGUAUAAUAUCUGAAUCACCUUCCUUUUUAAAUCAUGAUAUCAUAACUAGAGCAAAACAUUUGUGUGAAAAAUGCUAGCUGAUUAGGCAGUGCAAUCUUCACUGUCAUUCAUUUCAAUCAUGAAUAAGGAAUUGCUAAACUAGAAGGAAUUUUGAAAAAUUCAACAAGUUAAACCAGUUCAAGAUUGAGCGAUUUCAUCCGGUGUUUUGGGGUUGGAAUGAUUGUAUCAUACAUUACUUUCAACAAAACUGUUAUCUCCUUUCUUUAUAGACCUCUGACAUUAUGAUGUCUUGAUUAUACACUA